GAGCAAACAGGAUUAGAUACCUGGUAGUCACGCUGUAAACGAUGUCGAUUUGGAGUUGAGGGCAUGACCCUUGGGCUCCGGAGCUAACGCGUUAAAUCGACCGCCUGGGGAGUACGGCCGCAAGGUUAAAACUCAAAUGAAUUGACGGGGGCCCGCACAAGCGGUGGAGCAUGUGGUUUAAUUCGAUGCAACGCGAAGAACCUUACCUGGUCUUGACAUCCAUAGAAUCUUGUAGAGAUACGAGAGUGCCUUCGGGAGCUAUGAGACAGGUGCUGCAUGGCUGUCGUCAGCUCGUGUUGUGAAAUGUUGGGUUAAGUCCCGCAACGAGCGCAACCCUUAUCCUUUGUUGCCAGCGGGUAAUGCCGGGAACUCAAAGGAGACUGCCGUUGAUAAAGCGGAGGAAGGUGGGGACGACGUCAAGUCAUCAUGGCCCUUACGACCAGGGCUACACACGUGCUACAAUGGCGUAUACAAAGGGAGGCGAAGGUGCGAACUGGAGCGGACCUCACAAAGUACGUCUAAGUCCGGAUUGGAGUCUGCAACUCGACCCCAUGAAGUCGGAAUCGCUAGUAAUCGUGAAUCAGAAUGUCACGGUGAAUACGUUCCCGGGCCUUGUACACACCGCCCGUCACACCAUGGGAGUGGGUUGCACCAGAAGUAGAUAGCUUAACCGAAAGGAGGGCGUUUACCACGGUGUGAUUCAUGACUGGGGUGAAGUCGUAACAAGGUAACCA
rnacentral:rRNA from 1 species